rnacentral:rRNA from 1 species
AAGUCGUAACAAGGUUUCCGUAGGUGAACCUGCGGAAGGAUCAUUACUGGGUCUGGGCCUCGUGCCCGCUACCCGCCCUUUGUCAUGAGACGCGCAAGUAACUCACAUCGCUUCGGCCCCGGGCGAUACCCUCCGUUGACUCGGAGGGGUACCCCGCGGCCGGUCACAAACCCAAACGUAUCAUGAAGUCUGAACAAAUGAUAAACGAAAAGCAAAACUUUCAACAACGGAUCUCUUGGUUCUGGCAACGAUGAAGAACGCAGCGAAAUGCGAUAAUUAAUGUGAAUUGCAGAAUUCAGUGAAUCAUCGAAUCUUUGAACGCACAUUGCGCCCCCUGGUAUUCCGGGGGGCACGCCUGUCCGAGCGCCAUUACACCCCCCAAGCUUCGCUUGAUGUUGGGCCAUGGUACGCUACCAGACCCCAAACCUCUAGGCGCCCCCCGCUGGCCGCGAGCGUAGCAAGAAUUUAUUCCUCGCUCCGCGUGUCCAUCGGGUCGGCUGCCUCUGAAACCCAUUUUACACGGUUUGGCCUCGGAUCAGGCGGGGAUACCCGCUGAACUUAAGCAUAUCAAUAAGCGGAGGAAAAGAAACCAACAGGGAUUGCCCCAGUAACGGCGAGUGAAGCGGCAAUAGCUCAAAUUUGAAAUCUGGCGCCUUCGGCGUCCGAGUUGUAAUUUGUAGAGGAUGUCUCGGGUGGAGAACCGGUCCGAGUUCCUUGGAACAGGAUGUCAUAGAGGGUGAGAAUCCCGUAUCCGGCCGGUCCCCUCCCCCACUGUGAGACUCCUUCGACGAGUCGAGUUGUUUGGGAAUGCAGCUCCAAAUGGGUGGUAAAUUCCAUCUAAAGCUAAAUACUGGCCAGAGACCGAUAGCGCACAAGUAGAGUGAUCGAAAGAUGAAAAGCACUUUGAAAAGAGAGUUAAAAAGUACGUGAAAUUGUUGAAAGGGAAGCGUAUGCGGCUAGACUUAUCCGCGGUUGCUCAGCCCUCCUUCUGGUGGGUGUACUCUUCCGCGGCUAGGCCAGCAUCGGUUUUGGCGGCCAGAUAAAGACGUCGGGAACGUGGCCCCCCUCGGGGGGUGUUAUAGCCCGUCGUGCAAUGUGGUCAGCCGGGACCGAGGCCCGCGUUCUGCUAGGAUGCUGGCGUAAUGGCCGUAUACGGCC